rnacentral:rRNA from 1 species
UACGUAGGGGGCUAGCGUUGUCCGGAUUUAUUGGGCGUAAAGAGCGUGUAGGCGGCCAGGUAGGUCUGCUGUGAAAACUCGAGGCUCAACCUCGAGACGUCGGUUGAAACCGUACGGCUAGAGUCCGGUAGGGGAGCGUGGAAUUCCUGGUGUAGCGGUGAAAUGCGCAGAUAUCAGGAGGAACACCGGUGGCGAAGGCGGGUCUCUGGGCCGAUACUGACGCUGAGGAGCGAAAGCGUGGGGGAGCGAACAGG